UACGUAGGGGGCAAGCGUUGUCCGGAUUUAUUGGGCGUAAAGAGCGUGUAGGCGGCCAGAUAGGUCCGUUGUGAAAACUCGAGGCUCAACCUCGAGACGCCGAUGGAAACCAUUUGGCUAGAGUCCGGAAGAGGAGAGUGGAAUUCCUGGUGUAGCGGUGAAAUGCGCAGAUAUCAGGAAGAACACCCGUGGCUAAGGCGGCUCUCUAGUACGGUACUGACGCUAAGGCGCGAAAGCGUGGGGAGCGAACAGG
rnacentral:rRNA from 1 species